GGUACUGGGCGCAGCCUGAUCCAGCCAUGCCGCGUGUCUGAAGAAGGCCUUCGGGUUGUAAAGGACUUUUGUUCGGGAGGAAAUCCCGCUGGUUAAUACCUGGUGGGGAUGACAGUACCGGAAGAAUAAGCACCGGCUAACUACGUGCCAGCAGCCGCGGUAAUACGUAGGGUGCAAGCGUUAAUCGGAAUUACUGGGCGUAAAGCGUGCGCAGGCGGUUGUGCAAGUCUGAUGUGAAAGCCCCGGGCUCAACCUGGGAACGGCAUUGGAGACUGCACGACUAGAGUGCGUCAGAGGGGGGUAGAAUUCCGCGUGUAGCAGUGAAAUGCGUAGAGAUGCGGAGGAAUACCGAUGGCGAAGGCAGCCCCCUGGGAUGACACUGACGCUCAUGCACGAAAGCGUGGGGAGCAAACAGGAUUAGAUACCCUGGUAGUCCACGCCCUAAACGAUGUCAACUAGCUGUUGGGGGUUUGAAUCCUUGGUAGCGUAGCUAACGCGUGAAGUUGACCGCCUGGGGAGUACGGCCGCAAGGUUAAAACUCAAGAAUUUUGCGGGA
rnacentral:rRNA from 1 species